CCUACGGGUGGCAGCAGUAGGGAAUAUUGCUCAAUGGGGGAAACCCUGAAGCAGCAACGCCGCGUGGAGGAUGAAGGUUUUCGGAUUGUAAACUCCUUUUGGUAGAGAAGAGAAUGACGGUAUCUAACGAAUAAGCACCGGCUAACUCCGUGCCAGCAGCCGCGGUAAUACGGAGGGUGCAAGCGUUACUCGGAAUCACUGGGCGUAAAGAGAGCGGAGGCGGGAUAGCAAGUCAGAUGUGAAAUCCUAUGGCUUAACCAUAGAACUGCAUUUGAAACUGUUAUUCUAGAGUUUGGGAGAGGUAGUUUGCAUUCUUGGUGUAGUGGUCAACUCCGU
rnacentral:rRNA from 1 species